AAGCAGGGAUCGUCGACUAAAAACUGCGACAUCGUGUCGCAAACGUCGACGCCAGCCCAUCCUGGGCA
rnacentral:sRNA from 1 species